GGGCCCGUAGCUCAGCCAGGACAAGAGCGCCGGCCUUCGGAGCCGGAGGUCCCGGGUUCAAAUCCCGGCGGGCCCGCCA
rnacentral:tRNA from 1 species